rnacentral:rRNA from 1 species
AUUGAACGCUGGCGGCAGGCCUAACACAUGCAAGUCGAGCGGAUGAAGGGAGCUUGCUCCUGGAUUCAGCGGCGGACGGGUGAGUAAUGCCUAGGAAUCUGCCUGGUAGUGGGGGAUAACGUCCGGAAACGGGCGCUAAUACCGCACACGUCCUGAGGGAGAAAGUGGGGGAUCUUCGGACCUCACGCUAUCAGAUGAGCCUAGGUCGGAUUAGCUAGUUGGUGGGGUAAAGGCCUACCAAGGCGACGAUCCGUAACUGGUCUGAGAGGAUGAUCAGUCAACCUGGAACUGAGACACGGUCCAGACUCCUACGGGAGGCAGCAGUGGGGAAUAUUGGACAAUGGGCGAAAGCCUGAUCCAGCCAUGCCGCGUGUGUGAAGAAGGUCUUCGGAUUGUAAAGCACUUUAAGUUGGGAGGAAGGGCAGUAAGUUAAUACCUUGCUGUUUUGACGUUACCAACAGAAUAAGCACCGGCUAACUUCGUG